GAAAUGAGCCAAAAAGUUAAUAACAUCUUGGGCUUGUCUGUGUGGCCAUGGAGUGUCUUCUAGGGCUGCAUCAGAUGGAACUUCAGUGUCCUGAGUAUGAAGGAACACUUCUGAGAAAGUCCGGAAAACCACAAUGGGCUGAGCUACUCCUAAAAGGCUGUGGGUAUUUCCAGACUUCUCCCCCCAAUGAAAACUGCAAACAGAAAAGUGCAACAAGAAACUUUGCUACGGAUUAACCAAUGUGCAUUGACCACACGUGGCAAUGUCCAGGAAUGACAGAACCAUCACCUCCCACCACAGCGUCCCCACGGUCCCUCGUCGGCAGGCAGGCGAGUGGUCAAGGAGCGUCCAUUCUGCGUGAGCUGAUGGAUGGGUCUCAGUGGAAGGAUGGUCCUUCCUUCAUGUCAUUCAUGAUCGCUUUGUGAAUUUCCGAUAUGGUAGCAGAGGUGCAUUCCUUUUGUAGCUAUUCAGUUUCAAAUGCUUUAUUUUUUUUGUGUGUUGUUUUUUUUUUUUUCCUCUCCAGGUUUUUAUAAGCUUCCUGCUGUCAAAAUACAGUUCUUAAUUGCUUUUGUAGAAAUAAUCCUGAAGGGCAGAGGCAUUUAAAAUCCUCCCAAAUCCUCAGUAUAUUAACAGCAGCAAAAAAGAUAGCUGGGCUGUUCAAAAAUAUCACCAGUAACACGAGUGCCGUCUGCAUUGGCAAGUGUACAAACAGCAGUAAGUAGUAACAAAAGAAACAUCAUCUGAGCAAUAACCCAUUCCCUCCAUUUCUCCCAUGAAAAAAAAAAAAGUUUUCACAAAAUAUUUCUCCUCCCCUCAGUCCAGUGUCUGUGAAUCACAUACAUUCAAAAGCUGCAGUUACUCUGUAGGCCAGUUUUUCCAAGAUGAGCUUUUAAAACCAGUUGUUUUGCCCAAUUUCUCUAUAACAGGGUCACAAAUGGGAUUAUCCGAGCGGUGCCUUUUCUGCUAACCGAACACCUUGAAAUGUGAAAGCAAAACUAAGGACCUAAGGGUAAAAGGAGGUUUUAAAGCCCAUUAUGCUCCUCUGAACUAAUCCUCCCUUGGGAAGAAAGUCCUGCUAAUUUCAGUGGAACCACUCUCACAAACCAAGGAUUAGCGUCACAGGAUCAGCCCUGCUGGGUGCUCAGGGAUGCUGAAUGAGGUGUCACAGCGCGAGCACUGGGCUGGCAAUGCACAGAUCCCAGGUAAAGGGAAAACCCCACACCUUGGCCACACAGCGGCGUUACAGCAGGGAAGGAGAUAGGAAGGAAGGAUGGGGUGGGUGCUAAGCACAGACUACAGGUUUUGUAAGAGUGAGCUGGGGUGGUUGUAGGUUCAGCCUUUUGCCAUGCAGAUCAGUGGUAUAGC
ensembl:lncRNA